rnacentral:lncRNA from 1 species
ACCUGGCCGGUAAUGCUUGCUCGGUUGAUCAUCAGAAAAUCCGAAUGUUGCAUGGCAUCACGAAUUAAUUAAACCCUGAUGUUGAUGUCAAUGUUAGUCCACAAGUGUUGGCUGACUUCGUUACUGUUUCCGCACGUGCGAUGCAUCUGCUCGAUGACUUUGCCGAGCUCCAUCGUGUGGAUGAUCAAAGACGAAGAGCAAGUAGAGCAGUAGUAGUACUUCGUUCCUAAUUGUUUGGAUGAUCCAUCGUGUGGAUGAUCAAAGACGAAGUGCAAUAGUGGUAAAAUACGUUUGGACAAAACAAAACGGUGCCAUGAUUGUUUUUAUCCGUGCACGAUUCCAGAAAAGAAGGAGUAGCAAAGUUUUUGGUCACGUGGGAAGCGCCGAAGCCACACCGAGUGGUCGGACACGGACGGUGUAGCUAGGAGCUUCAUUCAGGGUGGUUGCCAACUAACUUCGGAAGAGAAGUGCUAGCGGCACCCCGAUGUGCCGCGGAAAACGAACGAACGAUAUGGCGGCAGGCAUGCAUGGCCAACAGGUCGGAGCUCUGCCGCAACACUUGGCCAGCAGGCGGAAG